rnacentral:lncRNA from 1 species
UUCAACAACAAUUCCACAUCAACAUAUUUCAUUGCCAAAUCAUGUUUCAGCUCAACAUUAAAUUGGAAUUUAAGCUCAAUAGGGGGACCACAUUAAUUUAACUACAAACAAAACUAGCUUUUGAGCCAUUUGAGUCACACGGAUUUGAUGACACUCACACAUUUUUCACUAAAUCACAUUGCACACGAUUCUUCACUCACACAUUCCAUUCCCUUUGCCUCACACGAGCCUCACA